rnacentral:rRNA from 1 species
CCUACGGGAGGCAGCAGUAGGGAAUCUUGCGCAAUGGGCGAAAGCCUGACGCAGCCAUGCCGCGUGAAUGAUGAAGGUCUUAGGAUUGUAAAAUUCUUUCACCGGGGAAGAUAAUGACGGUACCCGGAGAAGAAGCCCCGGCUAACUUCGUGCCAGCAGCCGCGGUAAUACGAAGGGGGCUAGCGUUGCUCGGAAUUACUGGGCGUAAAGGGCGCGUAGGCGGAUAGCUAAGUCAGAGGUGAAAGCCCAGGGCUCAACCUUGGAACUGCCUUUGAUACUGGCUGUCUUGAGUUCGGGAGAGGUGAGUGGAAUGCCGAGUGUAGAGGUGAAAUUCGUAGAUAUUCGGCGGAACACCAGUGGCGAAGGCGACUCACUGGCCCGAUACUGACGCUGAGGCGCGAAAGCGUGGGGAGCAAACAGGAUUAGAUACCCUGGUAGUCCACGCUGUAAACGAUGAGUGCUAGUUGUCGGCAUGCAUGCNUGUCGGUGCGCNGCUACGCAUAAGCACNCCGCCGUGGGAGGUACGGUCGCGAGAGUAAACUACGAAGAAGUAGACGCGNGAGAGNGCCGACGGACGACGACGAGGGAGGAGG